UACUGCGGGGCGCCGUGUUUGGAGGAGGAGGAGGAGAUGGUGCCUGUGGAAUACCUAUAAAGAAUGUUCAUUCUGACAGGACCCUGUGGUGUCCAUAGAUUCAUGUAUGUCAAGGUUCCACAUUGUCAUCAGAACAAAGAGGAGGCUACCUACAGUGAUGGGGGCUGACGUGCAGACAAACUUUAUCUUUACUGAGCCAUGAUGAAUGGAAAGAUGAUGAGGCGUUUGAGGCAUAUUCAAGUCCCAGACUGUCCAUCCCUCUCCUACAGCACUGUUCAUAUCUGGCUAUGUGUGGAUUCUCCAGCUCUGGCCCACCAGAUGCAAAGGCGAGAGAGAGCUUUAGCUGCAGAAAGAAUCAGUGCUGCAGGCCAAAGCUCUGCUGCCCUCUGGCUACCAGUCCAGCACCAACAACCAGCUCUCGCCUGGGGAGGAUUCUUCACACUCUUCAAUGCAGCUUCUCUAAUGGAAAGAUCCAAAAACCUCCCAGAGCCUCCUCUCCAUUGACAUGUAACCAUUGCUCAGGCUUUACUGGGGGCCGAUACAAGAGUAAGAUACAUCAGCAUCCACUGUCAGCAGCAAAAGGCAACAGAGAAGCGGGGAUGUGAAGCAAUUGCCGGCUUUCUAGUCACCUGAAUAUCAAAAGACAUAGCUGCUGCAUGAACAAGUGUCCUUAUUUCAGGAGUGGCCAACCUGAGUCUGAGAAGGAGCCAGAAUUUACUAAUGUACAUUGCCAAAGAGCCACAGUAAUACGUCAGCAGCCCUCCAUCAGCUCCCACGCCC